rnacentral:misc_RNA from 1 species
GAUGAAGAACGUAGCGAAAUGCGAUACGUAGUGUGAAUUGCAGAAUUCAGUGAAUCAUCGAAUCUUUGAACGCACAUUGCACCUCCCGGUAUUCCGGGAGGUAUGCCUGUUCGAGCGUCAUUUGUACCCUCAAGCUCUGCUUGGUGUUGGGUGUUUGUUCCGCCUCUGUGUGUGAACUCGCCUCAAAACAAUUGGCAGCCGGCGUACUUGUUUCGGAGCGCAGCACAUUUUGCGAUCCAGAUCAACGUACAGCGGCAUCCAAGAAGCCUUAUUUAACGCUCUUGACCUCGGAUCAGGUAGGGAUACCCGCUGAACUUAAGCAUAUCAAUAAGCGGAGGA